rnacentral:rRNA from 1 species
UACGGGGGGGGCAAGCGUUGUUCGGAAUUACUGGGCGUAAAGGGCUCGUAGGCGGCCAACUAAGUCGGAUGUGAAAUCCCCAGGCUUAACCUGGGAACUGCAUCCGAUACUGGAUGGCUUGAAUCCGGGAGAGGGAUGCGGAAUUCCAGGUGUAGCGGCGAAAUGCGUAGAUAUCUGGAGGAACACCGGUGGCGAAGGCGGCAUCCUGGACCGGCAUUGACGCUGAGGAGCGAAAGCCAGGGGAGCAAACGGG